GAUGAAGAACGUAGCGAAAUGCGAUAAGUAAUGUGAAUUGCAGAAUUCAGUGAAUCAUCGAAUCUUUGAACGCACAUUGCGCCCUCUGGUAUUCCGGGGGGCAUGCCUGUUCGAGCGUCAUUAUAACCACUCAAGCUCUCGCUUGGUAUUGGGGUUCGCGGUUCCGCGGCCCCUAAAAUCAGUGGCGGUGCCUGUCGGCUCUACGCGUAGUAAUACUCCUCGCGAUUGAGUCCGGUAGGUCUACUUGCCAGCAACCCCCAAUUUUUACAGGUUGACCUCGGAUCAGGUAGGGAUACCCGCUGAACUUAAGCAUAUCAAUGAGCGGAGGA
rnacentral:misc_RNA from 1 species